rnacentral:tRNA from 5 species
GCCGAAGUGGUGGAAUUGGUAGACACGCGGGACUCAAAAUCCCGUGAGCCUUUAAAGCUCGUAACGGUUCGAGUCCGUUCUUCGGCA